GAUGAACGCUAGCGAUAGGCUUAACACAUGCAAGUCGAGGGGCAGCACAAGGUAGCUUGCUAUCUGGGUGGCGACCGGCGCACGGGUGCGUAACGCGUAUGCAACUUGCCCUAUACAGGAGGAUAACCCGUCGAAAGACGGACUAAUACUGCGUAUGCUCACAACUUGGCAUCAAGUGGUGAGGAAAGAAAUUCGGUAUAGGAUAGGCAUGCGUCCCAUUAGCUUGUUGGUGAGGUAACGGCUCACCAAGGCAACGAUGGGUAGGGGAACUGAGAGGUUUAUCCCCCACCCUGGUACUGAGACACGGACCAGACUCCUACGGGAGGCAGCAGUGAGGAAUAUUGGUCAAUGGGCGCGAGCCUGAACCAGCCAAGUCGCGUGAAGGAUGACUGUCUUAUGGAUUGUAAACUUCUUUUAUACGGGAAUAACAAGAGUCACGUGUGACUCCCUGCAUGUACCGUAUGAAUAAGCAUCGGCUAACUCCGUG
rnacentral:rRNA from 1 species